AUGCCGGCGUGGUGGAAGGGCAAGGGCAGGAGCAAGAGCAAGGCGCCGGCGCCGGCGGGGGACGCCGGCACAAUUCCGGCCGUGAGGGACGGGGAGAAGGACAGGAAGAACAAGAAGGCGACCAGCUUCGACGAGGCGCUUAUUGGCAGGGAAGGCCGUGGGAAGCAGCUGCAGCAGCCGGCGCCGGCCGUCGGGCACCCGCUGCCGCGGCCGGCGUUCAUGCCGUCGGCCUCCGCCCCCGCGUCCGCGUCGGCGUCCGCUUCAAGCGGGGGCAGCUCGUCGCUCGGGUCCUCCGCGGCGUCCGACGAGCCGCUGGAUCUCGGAAUUUACAGGAUAUCAGAUGCAAAUAGAACACCGGCCAUUGAUUCUCGGAAACAAAGUCUUGUCCUAGAAGAAGGGCGCUUUGUCGUACAUAAUCUGGCUUCGGAGAAUAACAGAUCGUGUGAACCCUCAGUUUCUCCAAGGAAAGAAUUUCAAUCCAACAUUUUGGAUCUUCCAAGUGAUCGAACGACGUACUGUCAUGGCCGAAAAUCGACAGAAAUUGUGUUUGCUACACGGAUGCCCAGCUCUCCUCCUAGUUCAAGAGGCAAAAACUGUCCAACCUCACCUGUGCAUUCAAGAGCAUUCGGGCAAUGCCCAGGAUCCCCUACUGCGUGGCAAGAGGAUGCACGGAGCUCAAGCUCACCACACCCACUUCCUCUUCCGCCAGGCUCGCCGUGCACAUCUUCCCGGUCCCUCCAUUCACAAUGGAAGAAGGGGAAGUUGUUAGGCAGUGGUACAUUUGGGCAAGUAUACCUCGGAUUCAACAGUGAAGGUGGCCAAAUGUGUGCAAUUAAAGAGGUUAAGGUUAUUGCUGAUGAUUCAAAUUCAAAAGAGUGUCUGAGGCAGCUAAAUCAGGAAAUGCUGCUCCUGAAUCAGCUUUCGCAUCCAAACAUUGUGCAGUACUAUGGCAGUGAACUGUCUAGUGAAACACUCUCAGUCUAUCUUGAGUUUGUUUCUGGGGGCUCUAUACAUAAGUUGCUUCAAGAAUAUGGUCCAUUUGGGGAGGCCAUCCUCCGGAAAUACACCGCACAGAUCCUUUCUGGCCUUGCAUACUUGCAUGGGCGGAAUACAGUGCACAGGGAUAUCAAAGGAGCAAAUAUACUUGUAGAUCCUAAUGGUGACAUCAAACUUGCAGAUUUCGGUAUGGCCAAGCAUAUAUCAGCAUACACAUCCAUCAAAUCUUUCAAAGGAAGCCCCUACUGGAUGGCUCCAGAGGUUAUCAUGAAUACCAAUGGAUAUAGCCUUUCAGUGGACAUUUGGAGCCUUGGCUGCACCAUUCUUGAGAUGGCAACUGCAAGGCCUCCAUGGAGUCAGUACGAAGGGGUGGCUGCAAUAUUCAAAAUUGGAAACAGCAAAGACAUACCUGAUAUCCCAGAUCAUCUUUCUUCUGAAGCGAAAAGCUUUUUGAAACUCUGCUUGCAGCGCGAUCCUGCUGCGCGCCCAACUGCUGCUCAAUUAAUAGAACAUCCUUGGGUGAAAGACCAAGCUUCAGUCAGGUCCUCUAGGUCUGGCUCUGGCAUUACUAGGGAUAUGUUCUCAACUUCCACUGAUGGCAGCAAAGCCACGGUAAAGACAAGCAUCGAGCUGUCAUCCUACAGAAGCUUAUCACCUCUACGAGAUACUAAUCUCAGGAUGAGAAACUUAGUGGUGCCAGCAUCUUCUAUUCCUUCAAUAUCAACUCGCAGAGCCUCUGCCAUCGCAUCCAAUGUGCGUAUGAACAUGUCCCUGCCCGUCUCGCCAUGCACUAGCCCGUUGCGGCAGUACAGGCAGUCGAACCGGAGUUGUUUGCCAUCACCUCCGCAUCCAGCAUAUUCGGCUGGAGCAGCCAACUACAGCCCUAUCAACAAUGUGCUGUACCCUAUGCGGCCAAGCAACUAUCUCACAGACCCGUGGCUCGAAACCCCUCGCCAGAAAACGCAAACAUUUGAUUCUCCAAGAAGAUUGUAG
rnacentral:rRNA from 1 species